rnacentral:tRNA from 1 species
GUGCCGGUGGUGUAAGGCGAACAUCGCUGCCCGGAAAGCGAAAGAUGCGGGAUCGAGUCCCGCCUGGCGCA